ACGGAGGGAGCUAGCGUUGUUCGGGAUUACUGGGCGUAAAGCGCACGUAGGCGGCUUUGUAAGUUAGAGGUGAAAGCCCGGGGCUCAACUCCGGAACUGCCCUUAAGACUGCAUCGCUUGAAUCCGGGAGAGGCGAGUGGAAUUCCGAGUGUAGAGGUGAAAUUCGUAGAUAUUCGGAAGAACACCAGUGGCGAAGGCGGCUCACUGGACCGGUAUUGACGCUGAGGUGCGAAAGCGUGGGGAGCAAACAGGA
rnacentral:rRNA from 1 species